UACGAAGGGGGCUAGCGUUGCUCGGAAUCACUGGGCGUAAAGCGCACGUAGGCGGCUUCUUAAGUCAGGGGUGAAAUCCUGGGGCUCAACCCCAGAACUGCCCUUGAUACUGAGGAGCUUGAGUCCGGGAGAGGUGAGUGCAACUCCGAGUGUAGAGGUGAAAUUCGUCGACAUUCGGAAGAACACCAGUGGCGAAGGCGGCUCACUGGCCCGGUACUGACGCUGAGGUGCGAAAGCGUGGGGAGCAAACAGG
rnacentral:rRNA from 1 species